AAAUGAAACAAGAUAAUGAUCAGCCAUCAGAUGAAAACCUCCUGUUAGACAAGAAACCUCUAAAGAGUGACCUCCUUAGGUUAUUCAAAAGUUCUGCUGCCCAUUAUAUGAUCAUUGGGACUGCACUUGAUCUUGAAGUGGAUGACCUGUUACCAUAUCCAGCAGCUACUACAAGCAAUCUCAUUCAAGUAUUCAAGAGAUGGAUAGACUCCAAUAAAAGAGUGACCUGGAGGAAAUUACUUCAAGUUUGUGACGAUUUUCCAGAGGAACUUGGAAGAGUGAAAGUUGACGUGGAACAAUUUUUAUCAUCAGACAGAGCCCGUGAAAAUUAU